GUUUAAAGCAGGAAGAGUGCUGCAGUUCUCCGUGAAGAGAGGUUGUAGAGGUCAACAACACGUAAAAAACAAUCCCAGAAUGCUGACAAGCUGUGGAAUAAGUUCAUUUAAAGCAUGCAUCAGAGAUGGCUGAUGGAUGCCCUCUCAGUGGCUUUCCAGAGCACCAACUAUUGUAUCCUUUUGGACAGCCUGGAAGAUGUAAGGAUAGAAGGCAUAAGUGGUAAAAAUGCCAUUCCUAACUCUCAGCUGCAUGCUACCGUCAGGAGACCUCAGGAGAUUUGGAACUUGAUACUAUCGGUAUACUUAAAUCUAUUUGUCUAUAACAUGUUUGGAUAAUGAUGUGGCUCCUAUGAAUGUGUGUCUGCAGCUG